GAUGAACGCUGGCGGCGUGCCUAAUACAUGCAAGUCGAGCGAACGGACGAGAAGCUUGCUUCUCUGAUGUUAGCGGCGGACGGGUGAGUAACACGUGGAUAACCUACCUAUAAGACUGGGAUAACUUCGGGGAACCGUAGCUAAUACCGGAUAAUAUUUUGAACCGCAUGGUUCAAAAGUGAAAGACGGUCUUGCUGUCACUUAUAGAUGGAUCCGCGCUGCAUUAGCUAGUUGGUAAGGUAACGGCUUACCAAGGCAACGAUGCAUAGCCGACCUGAGAGGGUGAUCGGUCACACUGGAACUGAGACACGGUCCAAACUCCUACGGGAGGCAGCAGUAGGGAAUCUUCCGCAAUGGGCGAAAGCCUGACGGAGCAACGCCGCGUGAGUGAUGAAGGUCUUCGGAUCGUAAAACUCUGUUAUUAGGGAAGAACAUAUGUGUAAGUAACUGUGCACAUCUUGACGGUACCUAAUCAGAAAGCCACGGCUAACUACGUG
rnacentral:rRNA from 1 species